rnacentral:lncRNA from 1 species
AAAAAGGGAAACAUAUCAAGGGAGGGGAUAAGGGGGAUUGAUUUAAAGUAAAUUACUGGACUAAAAGGUAAAGCUGAAGGAAAAAAGGUUAGAAUUAGGGAAAAAUAUCAAAAUGCCAGGGAGUCCAAAAAUGACAGUCAUAACCUUGAACAUGAAUGGGAUGAACUCACCCAUAAAAAGUAGACGAAUAGCAGAAUAGAUUAGAAUCCAAAACCCUACCAUAUGUUGUCUUCAUGAAACACACAUGAGGCGGAUUGACACCCACAAGGUCAGAAUUAAAGGAUGGAGUAAGGCCUUCUGGGCCUCAACUGAAAGAAAGAAGGCAGGAGUGGUAAUGAUGAUAUCUGAUAAAGCCAAAGCAAAAAUAGACCUGAUCAAAAGGGAUAGGGAAGAUGAUAUAAUGGUCUACUUGAAGAAUCCUAGAGAAUCAACUAAAAAGGUAGUGGAAAUAAUUAACAACUUUAGCAAAGUUGCAGGGUACAAGAUCACUCACCUGGUACCAGUCCUGCCCACCUGGCCUGGCUACUGCUGCCUGCUUCUGCAUUCCUGCAAUCCAGACCUCUUCGACCCAGAUCCUCUUUCCUGGUCCCAACCCGCAGAGGCCCAGCAACUCUGGCCUCCUAGCCAGAUCGCAGAUCGCCCUAGGCUGCUGAUAGCAGACCCAAUUUCUUCAGGAUCAAAAACCAACUGGAAAAAAAACUGUUACCUUGUGAAAUUCAUUUGCUUGUACUCACAGUGGAUCAUGGCCAGAUAUGAAGAGGAAAUGGAUCUCAUUUUUGAUUUGCAACCUUGGAGUCAUCUUCCAUACGUUAAUCUCCCUGACCUUACAUACAAAAUUGCUUGCUAUAUAUUGUUGAAUCUAUCCCUAAAUCAUUUUCUCUGAAUGUUGUCAUCACCCUAAUUCAAACCUCCAUUAUCUCUUACCAAGAAUACUCCAAUAAUAUUCUCAGUGGUUUUUGUACCUUCACUCCUUCCUUUCUAUCCUCCCUUGAGUUGUUAAAAUUGUGUUCUUAAAACAAAUACAACUAAGUCAUUUACCUCCUCAAUAAAUUGCAAUGGGUUCCUAGAUCA